rnacentral:rRNA from 1 species
UACAGAGACUGCAAGCGUUGUUCGGAUUCACUGGGCGUAAAGGGUGCGUAGGUGGUGAGGUAAGUCGGAUGUGAAAUCUCCGAGCUCAACUCGGAAAUGGCAUUGGAAACUACCUUGCUAGAGGGUUGGAGGGGGGACUGGAAUGCUUGGUGUAGCAGUGAAAUGCGUAGAUAUCAAGCGGAACACCAGUGGCGAAGGCGAGUCCCUGGACAACUCCUGACACUGAGGCACGAAAGCUAGGGGAGCAAACAGG